AGCCGAGAUUGCACUACCGCACUCCAGCCUGGCGACAGGGUGAGACUCCUUCUGGAAAAAAAAAAAAAGAAAUCAUACAAUCUAUGCUUUGAAAGUUCACCCGCUGAUGAAGCCACUCUCCUUUCCUUACUCAAUGCAGGGAGAAUGACUCUAUACUUUAAGUUUUAGGGUGCAUUGUGCAGCUUGGUUUUUAUGGAUAAUGUCUUCUUUUUGUGGUUUCAUAUUUCUGACCUAUUUGAAAUUUAUUUCUGUUAUGAUAUAUAAAGAUUACUUUCCAACAGCUAUUUUCUCCAGUAACAUUUAUUGAAUUCUCCUCUCCACUACUUUGACAUAGAACAAGAUCAU
rnacentral:lncRNA from 1 species